UUUGGCGGGAUCUGUGUCUCUCGCUGGUGCUGGCACAAGAGCUUGGGAUCCGUCUCCUCUUUCGCCUCCUGCACCUUGGGAGCCCCGGGCUACUCUCUCACAGCCCCUGUUGCCCUGUGAUCUGUAGGUCCUUGGGGACGCAUAGUUAAGGUGCCAGGACAUCCUGGAAGCUGGGAAAUGAUUUCUUCCAGACCAUGGCUGGAGAAGGAAAGAAGGUGUGUUUUGCCUGACUCAGUGACUAUAGAGAGAACCAAGUUCUGCAGGCCUGUCACCUAAGUCUCAGGGCGGGGAGACCUUCCUUCCCCACGGGUUUGAGGCUAUGGCUAAGUGGUGAGCCUUGGUGAGACGCAGAAAGGAUCCAUCCCAGGCACUUGGCUAGAGGCUGAAUGCUAUCCCAGUGAUUGUACGUGCCCUGUUUGCUGAAUCUACUCAUCCUUAAGGGUACAUUUGCUUCCAGGUAACAUGUUUGUGAGUAAUACUACAAUGUGCAUAUAUCUAUUCCAUGUUCUGCUUUGUCUGUUUGGGAUAUUUUUCAUACACUGAUUCAGUACCAUGUGUAUUCCCUUGCUUUUGUUGUCUCAUCCGUUGAUGCUACGUCCCCCAAAUUAUUGCCACGACCAGUUGUAAUGAAGCUUCACCCUUCUGUAUUGUGCUAGGAAUUUUACAGCUAUAGGUUUUACAUUAUAGUCUUCAUUCAUUUUUUAAAAUUGACACAUGUAAUUGUGCAUAUUUUGGGGAAACAAUUAUAUAUAUGUGUUGUAUAACAAUAAAAAUCAGUACUUCUAUAUUUGUUGCCUCAUGCAUUUGUUAUUUUUGUGGUGAGAAUAUUCAAAAGCUCCUUCUCUAGCUAUUUUAUUUUAUCUUUAUGUAUUAAUUAUUUUAGAGACAGGAUCUUGCUCUAACACCCAGACUGGUGUGCAGUGGUGCAAUCCUAGCUCACUGUAACUUCAAACAGUCUUCUAACCUUAGUUUCCCAAUUAGCUGAGACUACAAGAAGCUGCCACCAUGCCUGGCUAAUGUUUUAAUUUUUCAUACAGACGGGGUCACACUAUGUUGUCCAGGCUCAUCUUGAACUUCUGACGUCAAGUGAUUCUCCUACCUCAAUCUCCCAAAAUGUAUGGAUUGCAAGAAUAUGCCACCAAAACUGGUCUCUUUUAGCUAUUUUGUAAUAU
rnacentral:lncRNA from 1 species